rnacentral:rRNA from 1 species
AACGCGAAGAACCUUACCUACCCUUGACAUGUACGGAAGCCCGAUGAGAGUUGGGUGUGCCCGAAAGGGAGCCGUAACACAGGUGCUGCAUGGCUGUCGUCAGCUCGUGUCGUGAGAUGUUGGGUUAAGUCCCGCAACGAGCGCAACCCUUGUCAUUAAUUGCCAUCAUUAAGUUGGGCACUUUAAUGAGACUGCCGGUGACAAACCGGAGGAAGGUGGGGAUGACGUCAAGUCCUCAUGGCCCUUAUGGGUAGGGCUUCACACGUAAUACAAUGGCCGGUACAGAGGGCUGCCAACCCGCGAGGGGGAGCUAAUCUCAGAAAGCCGGUCGUAGUCCGGAUUGUUCUCUGCAACUCGAGAGCAUGAAGUCGGAAUCGCUAGUAAUCGCGGAUCAGCAUGUCGCGGUGAAUACGUUCCCGGGCCUUGUA